ACGGGUAUCCGGCCUGAGAGGGUGAACGGACACACUGGAACUGAGACACGGUCCAGACUCCUACGGGAGGCAGCAGUAGGGAAUAUUGCUCAAUGGGGGAAACCCUGAAGCAGCAACGCCGCGUGGAGGAUGAAGGUUUUAGGAUUGUAAACUCCUUUUGUUAGAGAAGAUAAUGACGGUAUCUAACGAAUAAGCACCGGCUAACUCCGUGCCAGCAGCCGCGGUAAUACGGAGGGUGCAAGCGUUACUCGGAAUCACUGGGCGUAAAGAGCGCGUAGGCGGGAUAGUCAGUCAGGUGUGAAAUCCUAUGGCUUAACCAUAGAACUGCAUUUGAAACGACUAUUCUAGAGUGUGGGAGAGGUAGGUGGAAUUCUUGGUGUAGGGG
rnacentral:rRNA from 1 species